UACUCCCUCCGUCCGUCCGGAAAUACUUGUCAUCAAAAUGAAUAAAAGGGGAUGUAUCUAGAUGUAUAUUAGUUCUAGAUACAUCCUUUUUUAUCCAUUUUGAUGACAAGUAUUUUCGGACGGACGGAGUAAU
rnacentral:pre_miRNA from 1 species